rnacentral:misc_RNA from 1 species
GAUGAAGAACGCAGCGAAAUGCGAUAAGUAGUGUGAAUUGCAGAAUUCAGUGAAUCAUCGAAUCUUUGAACGCACAUUGCGCCCCUUGGUAUCCCGAGGGGCAUGCCUGUUCGAGCGUCAUUUGUACCUUCAAGCUUUGCUUGGUGUUGGGUGUUUGUCUCGCCUUUGCGUGUAGACUCGCCUUAAAAUAAUUGGCAGCCGGCGUAUUGAUUUCGGAGCGCAGUACAUCUCGCGCUUUGCACUCAUAACGACAGCGUCCAAAAGUACAUUUUACACUCUUGACCUCGGAUCAGGUAGGGAUACCCGCUGAACUUAAGCAUAUCAAUAAGGGAGGA